rnacentral:sRNA from 1 species
AUGUAAUCCCUUUUUAGAGCGGCUAACAAAACGACUGCGCUCACCGCCCGCGCCCACCUGACAGCUGCUCGCAACGUGUUUUUAGCC